rnacentral:rRNA from 1 species
UGCAUAAGCACGUAUCCUUACCUGAAUACAUAGGGUAAGGAGGCGAACCGGGGGAACUGAAACAUCUAAGUACCCCGAGGAAAAGAAAUCAACCGAGAUUCCGAAAGUAGCGGCGAGCGAAAUUGGACUAGCCCUUAAGCUUUACACGCGUUAGACGAACGGUCUGGAAAGUCCGACGAUACAGGGUGAUAGUCCCGUAGUUGACGACGUGUGUUCAGUGAAAUCGAGUAGGGCGGGACACGUGAUAUCCUGUCUGAAUAUGGGGGGACCAUCCUCCAAGGCUAAAUACUACUGACUGACCGAUAGUGAACCAGUACCGUGAGGGAAAGGCGAAAAGAACCCCUGUGAGGGGAGUGAAAUAGAACCUGAAACCGUG